rnacentral:rRNA from 1 species
UACAGAGGGUGCAAGCGUUAAUCGGAAUUACUGGGCGUAAAGCGUGCGUAGACGGUUAUUUAAGUCGGGUGUGAAAGCCCCGGGCUCAACCUGGGAAUUGCAUUCGAGACUGAAUAGCUAGGGUGCGGAAGAGGGAAGCGGAAUUUCCGGUGUAGCGGUGAAAUGCGUAGAUAUCGGAAGGAACACCAGUGGCGAAAGCGGCUUCCUGGUCCAGCACCGACGUUCAGGCACGAAAGCGUGGGGAGCAAAAGGG